rnacentral:lncRNA from 1 species
UUCGAUGGGAUUUUAAACACACUAGUCCCCUGUUGUUGCCAUGGUAACCGGUUUGGGCCCUGACGGGUGACAGAAGGGUACCGCACAGUCCUGGUUCCUGUUUGAACAAACACGUGCGCCGAGUUUCCGCCUUGCGGCGGGAGGAGAGGAGGCUGGAAUCUCCACGCUUCCACAGCAAGGGCAAUCUUUAAAGGCAGUAAGGUGUGACGGCCCAGACUGGCAGCUUGGCAAGACAGAGCCCGUGGAUACCAGCACACAGGAAUCUGGACGGUAUGUCCAUGCCUCCAGGGAUUUCUUUAUAAGAGGACGUAACAUAGAUUAUGACUCUGAGGGCCCGCAACUGAACACCAAGGCUUCCGGGGCUGUGCUGACGCCUUGCUGGAUGAUACUGGGUUAAGCCCUCUCCUGUGACUCUUCUGCAACUUUUGGUCUGAGAAGAUAUGUAGGAAAAAGACCCUAAAGUAUCUCUUUAAUCCUGUUUCAUCAAACAUAAACCUGU